CCUACGGGUGGCAGCAGUGGGGAAUAUUGCGCAAUGGGCGAAAGCCUGACGCAGCGACGCCGCGUGAGGGAUGAAGGUCUUCGGAUCGUAAACCCCUGUUAGCAGGGAAGAACGGUCACUGUGCUAAUCAGCAGUGAAUUGACGGUACCUGCAAAGGAAGCACCGGCUAACUCCGUGCCAGCAGCCGCGGUAAUACGGAGGGGGCGAGCGGUAAUCGGAAUUACUGGGCGUAAAGCGCUCGUAGGCGGGAUGUCAAGUCAAGGGGGAAAUCCCCGCGCGCAACGUGGGAACUGCCUUUGAAACUGGCAAACUGGAGUGUGUGAGAGGAAAGUGGAAUUCCAGGUGUAGGAGUGAAAUGCGUAGAUAUCUGGAGGAACAUCGGUGGCGAAGGCGACUAUCUGGCACAUAACUGACGCUGAGGAGCGAAAGCGUGGGUAGCAAACAGGAUUAGAUACCCGGGUAGUC
rnacentral:rRNA from 1 species